AUUGAACGCUGGCGGCAGGCUUAACACAUGCAAGUCGAGCGAGCGGCGGACGGGUGAGUAAGGUCUGGGAAACUGCCUGAUGGAGGGGGAUAACUACUGGAAACGGUAGCUAAUACCGCAUACCAUCAGAUGUGCCCAGAUGGGAUUAGCUCGUAGGUGGGGUAAUGGAUAACCUAGGCGACGAUCCCUAGCUGGUCUGAGAGGAUGCACGGCCACACUGGAACUGAGACACGGUCCAGACUCCUACGGGAGGCAGCAGUGGGGAAUAUUGCACAAUGGGCGAAAGCCUGAUGCAGCCAUGCCGCGUGAGUGAAGAAGGCCUUCGGGUUGUAAAGCACUUUCAGCGAGGAGGCGUUACUCAAAGAAGAAGCACCGGCUAACUCCGUGCCAGCAGCCGCGGUAAUAC
rnacentral:rRNA from 1 species